CAAAGUGUGCUUGUUGUUGGUGAGAGAUUGAAAAUGGCGGAGGCGAUUUCUCAGGACGAAGAGUCUUUCAUUUGUCCAGUCUGUCUGGAUCUCCUGAAGGAUCCAGUAGCUAUUCCUUGUGGACAUAAUUACUGUAUGAGGUGCAUUCAUGACUGCUGGGAUCGGGAGGAUCAGAAAAGAGUCUACAGCUGCCCCCUGUGCAAACACACCUUCACUCCCAGACCUGUUCUCUACAAAAAUACUCUGAUUGCUGAAAUGGUGGAGAAAUUUACGAAGACCAGAAUUCAAGUUAAUCCUCCUUUUCACUGUUAUGCUGGACCUGGAGAUGUGGAGUGUGAUGUAUGCACUGGGAGAAAACUCAAAGCUGUGAAGUCCUGCCUGGAGUGUGUGCAUUCGUACUGUGAAACUCACUAUAAAGCUCACAAUGAACUUAAUCCUGGAAGAAACCACAAAAUGGUUGAUGCCACAGGUCAGCUACAGGAGAGGAUCUGUGCCCAACAUGGGAAGCCUUUGGAGAUAUUUUGUCGUACGGAUCAAAGCUGUGUCUGUUUUCUCUGUCUGAUGAAUGAACACAAAGGCCAUGACACUGUGUCCACCUCUGCGGGGAGAAAGGAGAAACAGGCGCAGUUGGGGCAGAUCCAGAGGAGCUUCCAGCAGAGGGUACAGAAAAGAGAGAUGGAGCUGCAGGAACUAAGGAAGGUUGAGGUUACUCUCAGGAGAUCUGCACAAACAGCAGUGGAGGACAGUGAGAAGAUCUUCACUGAGAUGAUCCGUUCCAUUAAGAGAAGACGCUCUGAGGUGAAAGAGCUGAUCAGAGCUCAGGAAAAGGCUGAGGUGAGUCGGGCUAAAGGACUGCUGAAGCAACUGGAGCAGGAGAUUGCUGAGAUGAAGAGGAGACAUGCUGAGCUGGAGCAGCUUUUACACACAAAUGACCACAUCCAUUUCCUCAAGAAUGUUGUGUCAGCCACCAGUGCUCCUUGCAGUACAGUAACAACAAGCAAGACAUUCAGCCAAUCAAGUUUCUCAUUUGAGGCUGUGAAGGAAUCUGUCUCUGCAGUGAAGGCGCAGCUGGAAGAGAAACUAGAUGACAUCAUCAUGCAAGGAGUAGUCAAGAUAUCUGCAGCAGAUACUGAUCCAGAACUCCCAGUCAGAAGAACAAACCGCAUGGAAAUGGGAGGUCGCAGCAUGUUUGGCAAGACCCACUCUGUGGUGGGCCAGCAGACCGAGUUGCGGCUGCAACGCAGCUGCUCACUGCCCAACACCACCAGCAGGGUCAUGACCAAAGCCGUCCCCAUGCAUUGCACUGUGGACAGACAGAUGCUAUCCACUGACGUCCUGGAAUCCCCAGUGGAGUAUUGGGGUCGGGUGGAGGGCACCCACCUAGGGCCGAAGCUAUUAGAGGUGGUGCUGCAGAGUGGGCCAUGUGGGUUCGGCUUUUGCAUCGUCGACAGCCCGCUGGGCCAGAGGGUCAGUAAGCUUUUGGACGAGCAGAGCUGUUGUGGCCUGCUCAAGGACGACAUCAUCAAGGAGAUCAACAACUGCGACGUGCAGAUGCUCAGCCACACGCAGGUGGUGGGCCUGCUCAAGAAGGUGCCCAUAGGGGCCACUGUCACACUCUUGGUGAUCCGAGGAGCCUCGGCUGUGAACACUGUGAAUCUGGAUGUGUUCAUCACACUGCAUGAUGAGUCAGGCUUUGGCCUAAAAAUCUGUGGAGGAGAGAGACCCGGGCAGGCCGUGUACAUUGCGAUGAUCAUGCCGUUGGGAGCAGCAGAGCGGGAUGGCCGGCUUCAGGUGGGGGACGAGCUCAUCUGCAUCGAUGGCACAUCCAUUACUGGCUACUCACACAAGGAGGUGGUAGACCUCAUGACCAAUGCUGUCCACCUUGGUCACGUCAAGCUUACUUUACGCCGGUGAGCUGGGGAGUAAAAUCUAGGCUUUCUUUCUGAACCAGUGAGCAGAUAGGAGUUCUCACAGUACUCGCUUCACACUGGAUCCAAACACAGCGGUGUAAACCUGAGAACAGGAGGGAGGAAGGUAGAGCCAAAGUCAAGUCGUAUACAGAUAAUAUCCUGAUCAGUGACAGUGAUGCAGUAACGUGUUACUCUAUUCUGACCACUUUUUUCGGUAACAAGUAAUCCAGUGCGCUGCUAUUUCUAAACGAGUAAUCAGAUUAAAGUUACCUAUCAAAGUCACUGUGCGUUACUAUUUUUGUCAUCAAGAACCACAACUUACAACUUACCACAACUUUUGCUAACAGCUGUUUGGGGGCUGAAUAGUGCCCAUUUAUGUUAGCAGCAAGUUACUUUUAUCUAUUGGUUUUAAGAUUGGCUAGUGUACAUAAUUUACUCUGAUCAAAAUGAUACCACCAUUAACGCUACCAUUUACUCAGCAGCACUCUGAUUGAUCAGUUUAAAAGCUGAGGCUUUAUUAUCUUCUCACAUGCUUGUAUCAGUUUUACCAUGUUUACGAUUACGGUAGCGUGUUUGUCUUCAAUAAAAGUUUCUGCUUU